GCUGGAAUGGUCUAGUGGUAUGACGUUCGCCUCACAAACCCCUCGAAUGUGUGCGCGACAGGUCCCGAGUUCGAUCCUCGGUUCUAGUA